GUGGGGAAUUUUGGACAAUGGGCGAAAGCCUGAUCCAGCAAUGCCGCGUGUGUGAAGAAGGCCUUCGGGUUGUAAAGCACUUUUGGCAGGGAAGAAACAGUGCGUGCUAAUACCAUGCGCGAAUGACGGUACCUGCAGAAUAAGCACCGGCUAACUACGUGCCAGCAGCCGCGGUAAUACGUAGGGUGCAAGCGUUAAUCGGAAUUACUGGACGUAAAGCGUGCGCAGGCGGCUUUGUAAGACGGAUGUGAAAGCCCCGGGCUCAACCUGGGAAGUGCAUUCGUGACUGCAAGGCUAGAGUGGGUCAGAGGGAGGUGGAAUUCCGCGUGUAGCAGUGAAAUGCGUAGAGAUGCGGAGGAACACCGAUGGCGAAGGCAGCCUCCUGGGAUAACACUGACGCUCAGGCACGAAAGCGUGGGGAGCAAACAGGAUUAGAUACCCCGGUAGUCC
rnacentral:rRNA from 1 species